UAGGGAAUAUUGGGCAAUGGAGGGAACUCUGACCCAGCCAUGCCGCGUGCAGGAUGAAGGCGUUAUGCGUUGUAAACUGCUUUUAUAUAGGAAGAGAUAGUCCUUGCGAGGAAAGUUGACGGUACUAUAUGAAUAAGCACCGGCUAACUCCGUGCCAGCAGCCGCGGUAAUACGGAGGGUGCAAGCGUUGUCCGGAUUUAUUGGGUUUAAAGGGUGCGUAGGCGGUUUAUUAAGUCAGUGGUGAAAGACGGUCGCUCAACGAUUGCAGUGCCAUUGAUACUGGUAGACUUGAGUAUGAUUGAGGUAGCUGGAAUGGAUAGUGUAGCGGUGAAAUGCAUAGAUAUUAUCCAGAACACCAAUUGCGUAGGCAAGUUACUAAGUCAUAACUGACGCUGAGGCACGAAAGUGUGGGUAUCAAACAGGAUUAGAUACCCCC
rnacentral:rRNA from 1 species